CCUACGGGAGGCAGCAGUGAGGAAUAUUGGUCAAUGGCCGGAAGGCUGAACCAGCCACGCCGCGUGAAGGACGAAGGUGCUAAGCAUUGUAAACUUCUUUUGUCAAGGGACAAAAUCAGGCUCGAGAGCCUGACCGAGGGUACUUGAAGAAAACGCAUCGGCUAACUCCGUGCCAGCAGACGCGGUACUACGGGGGAUGCGAGCGUUAUCCGGAUCUAUUGGGUUUAAAGGGUACGUAGCCGGACUGUUAAGUCAGCGGUAAAAGCCCGGGUCUAAACCCCGGCGAGCCGUUGAAACUGGCUAUCUUGAGAUGUCGAGAGGUAUGCGGAAUGCGCAGUGUAGCGGUGAAAUGCUUAGAUAUCACACAGAACACCGAUUGCGAAGGCAUCUCACGAAUCCGCGAUUGACGCUGAUGCACGAAAGCGUGGGGAUCAAACAGGAUUAGAUACCCUUGUAGUC
rnacentral:rRNA from 1 species